rnacentral:piRNA from 1 species
UUGCUUUGUAUUAACCGUUUA